rnacentral:rRNA from 1 species
AGAGUUUGAUCAUGGCUCAGGAUGAACGCUAGCUACAGGCUUAACACAUGCAAGUCGAGGGGAAACGACAUCGAAAGCUUGCUUUUGUAUGGGCGUCGACCGGCGCACGGGUGAGUAACGCGUAUCCAACCUGCCCACCACUUGGGGAUAACCUUGCGAAAGUAAGACUAAUACCCAAUGAUAUCUCUAGAAGACAUCUGAAAGAGAUUAAAGAUUUAUCGGUGAUGGAUGGGGAUGCGUCUGAUUAGCUUGUUGGCGGGGCAACGGCCCGCUAAGGCGACGAUCAGUAGGGGUUCUGAGAGGAAGGUCCCCCACAUUGGAACUGAGACACGGUCCAAACUCCUACGGGAGGCAGCA